UCUCCGUUGGUGAACCAGCGGAGGGAUCAUUACAGAGUAUUACACUCCCAACCCUAUGUGGACGCACCUGUAGCCUGGGCGGCAGCCCCCAGGGAGGGGAGGGGAGCGCUGGCCUGGCCUGCCGCUCACCCCCUCCUGAGGGGCCCGUCGAGGGACCAAACUCAGUAGAAUGGUUAGGCAGUCUUAGCGAGAUAGCAAUACAAGUCAAAACUUUCAACAACGGAUCUCUUGGUUCUGGCAUCGAUGAAGAACGCAGC
rnacentral:misc_RNA from 1 species